AGGAGGGAGGACACGAUUAACCUUAGCUCUAAUUAGCUAAUUAUCGCGACCUUUUAAUUACAUUCUUUGAACGAUUCAUCUUUUCUUUCUUUAUAACCUCUACAUAUUGGACACAAGAGCUAGAGCAAAGUAAGCCUUUUCUCCUACUGGAGGUACCCCUAUGGCCAAGUUGUCAGGACCUGAAGAUCCCUGUGAGAAGCAUCCCAGGCACUCUGAUCUUGUCUCUGUGAGAAGCACUCUUGAUCCUGGAGACAGGAUCCCUAUGAGGAGCACCCCAGGCACUCCUGUCUCCAAGAUCCCUGUGAGAAGCACCCCAGGCACUCCUGUCUCUGUGAUAAAGCUGCAACAUGGUUCAGAGUGUUUCCAACAUGAAGAACAUCAAUGACACUAACAGUCUCAGCUUCUAGCACUCCAUUAUUUGUAUGGUUUGCUCUGUGCCUGCAAGAAUUGCCUGUCACUCAUACUACAGUACUGUUCUGUGUGUUCCAAUAUGUAGAGGUUAUAAAGAAAGAAAA